rnacentral:tRNA from 1 species
UACGCUUUAGUAUAUGAUGUAUGAGAAUUUUUGGUGUUCUAGGAAAUAGUUUAAUUCUAUUUGGCGUAA